GUAAGGAACAUGAGAAUACUUUAAGUGUUAAAAUGACUGGCUAUAGGCAUCAGUGUUUCUAUCCUGUUGGUUUGUUAUAGGGAGACAUUCCAAAGGAAAUAUUUUGAUUGAGUAGAUAUUUAAAUCUUAUUAUCUUAUCUUCUUGGUACUGUCUUGGGUUUGCACCAGUUGCAACUGUAAGGUCAAGUGACAGGACACACAACAGCUAAUUCAGCAUUAUCUACCUCAAACGUGGCCAUCUCAUUCUUCAGAUGUUUCAAUCCAUUCAACUUCUUAUCUUCUUGGUACUAUUCUGGGUUUGCAUCUGUUGCAACUGUAAGGUCAAGUGACAGGACACACAACAGCUGUGUCAGCAGUAUCUGUCUCAAACGUACCCAUCUCAUUCACAGGGUGUAAAACAAUGUGUGCUUUUAUUAAACGACCAGUUUCUAACUUCUGUUUUCCAUGACAGUGUCAACUGUGUGAGGUCUGUGGGUUAGGUUGAGACUCAUCUUUUUCCGGCGACUGCACUGUGCUGAGGGAAUCGUCAACAAUGUAACAACAACAAAUUCCUCUGUGAAUGUACUGCAUCAAAUGUACUGCAUCAAAUUUGGCAGUGCCAACGAGGAGAAAGAAAAUGGAUGCCAGAAGAGCCAUGAGAAAUCCAAAGACACAAAGACUUCUGUUUAACACACGCAGGCUAUUCUACAUGAUCAUAUUUCACAGAGGAAACUUUGUGGAGAGAGGCAAAUGUGUGGCCUCGCCCCACACCUG